rnacentral:rRNA from 1 species
AGGGUUUGAUUAUGGCUCAGGAUGAACGCUGGCGGCGUGCCUAACACAUGCAAGUCGAACGAAGCGCCUUUUGAGAUUCUUCGGAUGAACAUUUGGUGACUGAGUGGCGGACGGGUGAGUAACGCGUGGGUAACCUGCCCUGUACAGGGGGAUAACAGCCAGAAAUGGCUGCUAAUACCGCAUAAGCGCACAUGAGGACAUCCUCAAGUGUGAAAAACUCCGGUGGUACAGGAUGGGCCCGCGUCUGAUUAGCUGGUUGGCGGGGUAACGGCCCACCAAGGCGACGAUCAGUAGCCGGUCUGAGAGGAUGAACGGCCACAUUGGAACUGAGACACGGUCCAA